rnacentral:rRNA from 1 species
GGAAUGGCGGGGAGCUAUAAUGCAGUUGAGCGCUGAAGGUUGGUACUUGUACCAACUGGAUGAGCAGCGAACGGGUGAGUAACGCGUGGGGAAUCUGCCUUUGAGCGGGGGACAACAUUUGGAAACGAAUGCUAAUACCGCAUAAAAACUUUAAACACAAGUUUUAAGUUUGAAAGAUGCAAUUGCAUCACUCAAAGAUGAUCCCGCGUUGUAUUAGCUAGUUGGUGACGUAAACGGCUCACGCAAGCCGAUGCAUACAUAGCCGACCUGAGAGGGUGAUCAGCCACACUCGGACUCGAGACACCGCUCCAAACUCCUACCGGGAGGCAGCAGUAGGGAAUCUUCGGCAAAUGGAAGGAAAGUCUGACCGAGCAACGCCUGCGUGAGUGAAGAACGUUUUUCCGGAUCGUAAAACUCUGUUGGUAGAGAAGAACGGUUGGUGAGAGUGGAAAGCUCCAUCAAGUGACGGUAACUACCCAGAAAGGGACGGCUAACUACGUGCCAGCAGCCGCGGUAAUACGUAGGUCCCGAGCGUUGUCCGGAUUUAUUGGGCGUAAAGCGAGCGCAGGUGGUUUAUUAAGUCUGGUGUAAAAGGCAGUGGCUCAACCCAUCGUAUGCAUUGGAAACUGGUAGACUUGAGUGCAGGAGAGGAGAGUGGAAUUCCAUGUGUAGCGGUGAAAUGCGUAGAUAUAUGGAGGAACACCGGUGGCGAAAGCGGCUCUCUGGCCUGUAACUGACACUGAGGCUCGAAAGCGUGGGGAGCAAACAGGAUUAGAUACCCUGGUAGUCCACGCCGUAAACGAUGAGUGCUAGAUGUAGGGAGCUAUAAGUUCUCUGUAUCGCAGCUAACGCAAUAAGCACUCCGCCUGGGGAGUACGACCGCAAGGUUGAAACUCAAAGGAAUUGACAGGGGCCCGCACAAGCGGUGGAGCAUGUGGUUUAAUUCGAAGCAACGCGAAGAACCUUACCAGGUCUUGACAUACUCGUGCUAUUCCUAGAGAUAGGAAGUUCCUUCGGGACACGGGAUACAGGUGGUGCAUGGUUGUCGUCAGCUCGUGUCGUGAGAUGUUGGGUUAAGUCCCGCAACAAGCGCAACCCCUAUUGUUAGUUGCCAUCAUUAAGUUGGGCACUCUAACGAGACUGCCGGUGAUAAACCGGAGGAAGGUGGGGAUGACGUCAAAUCAUCAUGCCCCUUAUGACCUCGGCCUACACACGUGCCUACAAUGCAUGGUACAACGAGUCGCGAGACAGUGAUGCAUAAGCUAAUCUCUGUAAACACCAUUCUCAGUAUCGUGCAGGGUAGGCUGCAACUCGCCUACAUGAAGUCGGAAUCGCUAGUAAUCGCGGAUCAGCACGCCGCGGUGAAUACGUUCCCGGGCCUUGUACACACCGCCCGUCACACCACGGGAGUUGGGAGUACCCGAAGUAGGUUGCCUAACCGCAAGGAGGGCGCUCCUAAGUAGACCCGUC